UUUUCUCAAUGGGGGAAACCCUGAAGGAGCGACGCCGCGUGAGGGAUGAAGGUCUUCGGAUUGUAAACCUCUGUCAUCUGGGAACAAUGCGCUCUACCUAACACGUGGAUCGUGGAUAGUACCGGAAGAGGAAGCCGUGGCUAACUCUGUG
rnacentral:rRNA from 1 species